GAAGGCAGGUGGGGGGACAAGACUUCGCCCCCGCCAACCUUCAGAAGACCUCUUCUGAAGGCUGGCGGGGGCAAAGUCUUUGUCCCCCUGCCUGCCUUC
rnacentral:miRNA from 1 species